rnacentral:rRNA from 1 species
AGUGAACGCUGGCGGUAGGCCUAACACAUGCAAGUCGAACGGCAGCACAGUAAGAGCUUGCUCUUACGGGUGGCGAGUGGCGGACGGGUGAGGUAUACAUCGGAAUCUACUUUUUCGUGGGGGAUAACGUAGGGAAACUUACGCUAAUACCGCAUACGACCUACGGGUGAAAGCAGGGGAUCUUCGGACCUUGCGCGAUUGAAUGAGCCGAUGUCGGAUUAGCUAGUUGGCGGGUUAAAGGCCCACCAAGGCGACGAUCCGUAGCUGGUCUGAGAGGAUGAGCAGCCACACUGGAACUGAGACACGGUCCAGACUCCUACGGGAGGCGGCAGUGGGGAAUAUUGGACAAUGGGCGCAAGCCUGAUCCAGCCAUACCGCGUGGGUGAAGAAGGCCUUCGGGUUGUAAAGCCCUUUUGUUGGGAAAGAAAAGCAGCAGGUUAAUACCCCGCUGUUCUGACGGUACCCAAAGAAUAAGCACCGGCUAACUUCGUG